rnacentral:rRNA from 1 species
GAUGAACGCUGGCGGCGUGCCUAACACAUGCAAGUCGAACGGAGAUUACGGACGGAAGGUUUCGGAUGGAAGACUGUAAUUCUUAGUGGCGGACGGGUGAGUAACGCGUGGGCAACCUGCCCUAUACAGGGGGAUAGCAGCUGGAAACGGCUGGUAAGACCGCAUAAGUCGGCGAGACCGCAUGGUUUUGCCGGGAAAUGAGCAAUCAGGUAUAGGAUGGGCCCGCGUCCGAUUAGCCAGUUGGCAGGGUAAAAGCCUACCAAAGCAACGAUCGGUAGCCGGACUGAGAGGUCGGACGGCCACAUUGGGACUGAGACACGGCCCAAACUCCUACGGGAGGCAGCAGUGGGGGAUAUUGCACAAUGGAGGAAACUCUGAUGCAGCGACGCCGCGUGAGUGAAGAAGUAUUUCGGUAUGUAAAGCUCUAUCAGCAGGGAAGAUGAUGACGGUACCUGACGAAGAAGCCCCGGCUAACUACGUG